ensembl:lncRNA
GGGGCAUGGGAAAGGUGAUUUGGGAUUCUGUCAUUACCUUUGUGCUAAGGAAGGAAGCAAAUUUUGCCAAUUUUGACUUUGUAGCUGUGGAAUCUAGUGGAAACCUUUUAUCAUCUGCAUACAGGCUUGAAAAUCACUGCACCGCCUUCAGUGAAUAAUAAAUGACGAAAACCCAAAAGCAGGAACUACUGCUGCUCCUAAUCACAAUUCUACGUGAGCCUUGACAGAUUCUCACAGUUUCAUCUGUCCACGAGAGAUUAUCUGAUUGUCAACCGACACUACCUUCUUUUGCAUUGACUUCUGUUCUGAUCCUCUGGUUUGAUCAUGGGUGAGUGGAUUAGGGGGCGGGACUACCCGAGGUUUCUUGUUCUCUCACAGUAAUCCGCCAAUCCUGUCUCAGUGAGCUAUUCUCUCAUCACUGUUCCCAGAGGGUACUGCCAGAGCGCCUUCAGCACCCUGGACAGUGGCCACCGCACGUGCUCUCCGACCUACGCUAGAUCUAGCUCUCCUGCUAAGGAACCUCCCCUGCUUGCUCACCUAGGCAACACUGGAACACUUUUUCAAAGGGUUAUGUGUGAUCACAUAUCCCCAAUAUGAUCGAACAUAAAAGAACAGGUGGUUGUGAAGACCUGAUCAAAGUUGAGGAUUUUGGUGGACAGCAUUCACUUUACAAUUGAAUAACUGAAAUUCCAAGUCUGCAUGCAGCAUUGACUCAUUGAAAGGCUUGGAUAAGAGAAUCCUACAACCUCGGGACAUUGUGGAGUAACUUUGUGGACGUUGUGAAGGAACUCAUCGCAGAAAACAUCCUGCAUUACAAAGCAGCGGAUCACCGACAACAUGGACGUCGUGAAAAGUUUGAACUUAACAGACAAAGCAGGACAUUUGAUCAAAAUCCUUAUUAAUGAUGAGGAUAUUCUCUAUAAGGAAUAUAAGCCUCCUCCUAGGGACAUUAUCCAGCUGCCUAAAUCCAUGCUAUAUCUGCUGAUGGCAGCUGUCGUGGUGGUGGCUGUGGCUUACGCUAUCGUCGGUCACCUCAUCAAGGACCUGGCCCUGGACAUAGCAGACUGCCUGCUGGGUCCCGUGGAGCCUGAUCCCCUGAAGGAUGGUGACCUGAAGCCCUGCGGUCCUUCCCACAUGCCCCCCAUCAUGACCAACUCCCACCACAACGCCUUCCACGUCUGGGACACAGACAACAUCAUCAUCCCCAUGACCCCCAUCGAGGGGAGCCCUCUGGCCAGCCCGCUGCUGAAUGUCAUAACCCACAUACCCUCCUUCUUCCCGCACUCGCUCAGCGUCAACAGCCCUGCCUUGAGCCAUUCCCUACAUGGCCGAGAGAUGAGAGAGUCGGACGCCUAAGGCCGACCACUGGAGGCCGGUAGCCAAGCGGUAUGAGCUUUGGGCCAGUAACCGAAAUGUUGCUAGUAAUGGCCAACUCUGGCCUUGCCCCCAUUCUCCGAGGGUGUCUCAGGGAAAGUGGGAUAUGCAAAAUCACAUUUUCCAAUUCACACACUUGUACAUGUGCGAAUUAGGACAAAUAUUAGCACCCACCCACAAGAUACGGUGAAAUAGCCACAGAGAGAGCAAGAGGCCUAGGGACCACCCAUGGGAUGAUGCAAUAAGUACUUUAUCAAAGGUGACCCACCUGCUCUAAAGAUGGAGGAUUGUUUAGCAUGAGUGUCUUGUCUAAAAUCAUCUGAAGCCAUUCAAGGCACAGUGCAAUAACACUCAUUUUAUUGGUUCUUUUGAGGACAGUAGGCUUACAGUCAGAAAGGUACAUUUUAAUCCAGUACUGGUAAACCAUAUUUAGUUAGCUAUUCCAUUAGCGGUUAUUCUGGUGUUCAUCUUAAUUUGAUUCAUAUGGCUCAUGUCAUUUCCAGUACCAAACCUGUAGCAUUCGAGCAGAUCUCUAUGCAGUACCAACCCUGUAGCAUGCUAGCAGAUCCCCAUAGACUUCCAGUCAUUGCGCUAACUCUUGUUAGCAUUGGCUUGUGAAACUACCUCUAACUUCCUUCAUACUCUUACUGGACACAGACAUAAAAGUGGUAUCCACAAGUUCAUCUAACUCGGGGGAAGUAGAUAAAGGGCCUCAUUGCCAAAAUCCCGAAGUAUAACCGUACCAAACUUUCUUGUUUAGCCUCAACACAUUCCAUCCCAAAAUGUCAGAGGAACAAAAGAAAUACUUUUGAAUGUUUUGGGCACAUCAUUGUGUAUUCACCAGGUGAAAAGAAAAUCACGGGACAUCAUAGGACUGCACACAAUCGAUUGACGGUUUUAUGACGCUUUUGUAAUUUCACCAACUUGGUUGGAGAGUUAUAGAUAUCGGCCAAGCUUAAUGUAUUUGGAUGGACCUUUUCUGGAGUUGGCCCAAGUGGACAUAUUCUUCACAUCUUUCCAAUCAAGGAAACCCCAGUUGAACAUGCAGAGAUACUGCCUCACUUGGCCAGGUUUCCCUUGGCAAAGAGGUCUUCUGACCUCAAUGGGACCAUCUGAUUAACAAAAGGUGAAACUAAAGGGGUUCUGAUUUAAAACCAAAGUUGGUGGGAGCAGUGCAAUGAUGGAAAGGGAGUGAUGGAAGCGUUACCUAUCAUCCCUCUUUAAAGCUUGAAGGGAUAGCUUCAGAUUGACUGGCUGUUGUGUAUUAAUGGCCAUGGGACAAGGAGAGGGAUGCCGGACUUCCCCUGUGAACUUUCCAUCGGAUUUGUGACAAGUCACCACACUUCCUUCCUCUCUUUGACACCAACAGACUAGUGACUUUUCCUCCUCGAGCAUUUAAACAUUAAAACUACCAAUAAACACACAGAAAAAUGGCCACAUCUGAGUAUUUUAUAAUGAAUCUGUUCAGUAGGCCUAUAUAUCUAUCUAUAUCUGUUAUUUCUUUACUCGUAUGGGUGUCAAAGGCAGCUGGUGGCAUCUUCAUUGGGGAGAACGGUCUCAUAACUAUGUCUAGAACAGAAUGAAUGGAAUGGUAUCAACCACAUGGUUUCCAUGCCAUUAUUAUGAGCACUCCUCCCCUCACCAGCCUCCUUUGGUCAAACGUUAUGGUAAAGUGAGUGUGGGUUAGCCAUUCAGAACUUUCAACUUAAAGAGGACUUUGUGUAAAUAUAUGUUCGUGCGAAUAUGGUAUUAGAUUUGUUCUGUUUGAUAACACCUGAUACUAAGGUUAUUUCCAGGCUUCAGCAGGAUUAGAUUAGUUGAUUUACUAAUUAACUAGUAGGGUUGAAUUAAUUCAGUUAGUAGGGGUGAGGUUAGGUUAAGGUGAGUCUGUGUGAUUCCCAUACAGGUGGCCUGGGAAGAUGUUCGUGAUAGGCCUAUCUAAACAGUAUUUUAAGUGGAAACACACUACCUUAUGCAAACAAAUAUUAGAGCGUAAGCACACAGUAGUAGAAUUAAAGUACAGUGUAGUAUAUUUCAAUCCUGUUGCUUCCUGUGGCUAGUUAUGUUCCAUAAUUUAUGUAGUUCUCCAGAAAGGCAUAGUGUUACACAACUUAAAACAAACAAUUAUUAUUUAAGCUGGAUGUUACCUGAUAUUGCAUGUAGGAUUUGAUACUGUUAUGCUAUUUUAUAGCUUUUAUCGUCAAGCUUGAUGCCGACUGCGUUCAUCCAUCUGUGCGGGUCUUUCAAGUGCCUGUCUUCCUUUAUUGAGAGAGCAGAAGAGGGGGAUUAAAGAGUAAAGAUUACACACACAGCUUAGCCCUCUAUAAUACAGCCUCCUUUUAUUACUUUUCAGCCAGGGAAUUAGAGGCUCAGAGAGCAGUUUAAUCUGAGGCAGAAGCUCAGAGCCUCACAGACAGCUGUAAUGGAAUGAUCUUAUCAGGACUGCAGCUUAGUGUACCAACGGGAAAUGAGAUGUAUUGUCACGUUAGUUUUGAUGGAUCCAUCCACAGUGUUCUUCCAUCUCAACCAUUGACUGAACUCUGGCAUAGUCUGCCAUCCUAACUGAGCUUCUGGAGAGGAAGGUAACUAACUGUUCAGGGAUGUGACCAUGAGACCAAUGGUGAUUAAAACAGCUGUUUCCUUCCUCUCUGGCAGCUCAGUUAGGAUGGCAGAACGUCACACUAUUACUAUGGAGACAGAACAGAAGUUCAUCUGAGUUAAUUUCAUCCCCAGUUUUGGAGGACAAAGCUCAAUCUCAUAUAGGUUAAACCUAUCAAACUAUUAGUGUUACUGUCAAUUGGAUUAUAAGCCUUGACUCAGCUGUUUGACCAUGACCAGAUGAUAUGAACCAACUACUCUGUGCACAUUUUAAUAGGAAACUAUAUAUGAGAGAAUGUGUGUAAAUUGACAAGAAAUAUCAAAGACGACACCUGCAGGACCUCUUGGGGUGUAUAUAUAUCACAUUGUCUUGGGCAGUCAGCACAUGCCUGAAGCUACCUGCAGUAUUAAGAGCAGAUCAAGGCCUAAUAAAAAUCAUAAGCCCAGCAGUGACACUGUUUAGACAUGUUGGUGUUGGGAAUCGGUAUCGCCCCACACCGGUAAAGAGGGCUUAAUGCAGGACUAAUGAGGACUCCGCAAAGGUCGUUCUGACUCAGACUAACCGGGAAACCUCUGAAGUCCCACUUGAAUGUUCUAGAACUUAUUCUAGAAUUUUUAAGUAAAAUUUCUAGAAUGUCAAUGUGUGAGAGACAGUCUUACUGGAUUUUUAACCACUCAUAAACGUGUUUUUACAAGGAAAAUGAAUUUUUAACUUGGUUAUCCAGUAAAGAUCAGGCCUGGAUGUCAGUCCACAGUGGGAGAAUAGGCCUGCUAGGUAGAGAUACAGUAUAACCAAGUGCGGCAGAGGACAUUUUGGGAUAAUCCUAAAACAGAUUGGAGAUUGGAACAUGUGACGAGUGGAUUACCUAUCCCUGCAGUUUGGGACAUUGUAGUGACUGGCAGGUUUGGCCAAACUGGAGGAUUCACAUUUUUCUACACCUGUGAUGGUGCAUGCAAAGUCGUGCUGUGAUUGAACUAUUGUAGUGACUGCCAAAUUAUAGAAAAAGCACAGCUGGUUUGGGGGAACAUUGUGUGUAGACAAGUGGUCUUUGACAUCCUCAGCUAUAUGAGUAAUGAAAAGUCUUCAUAAUGUUGCAGUUAACAUAAUACUGGAAGAGGUCAAGUUUCAUGGCGUUGCAGUAAACAUGCUACAGUAUCUAAUAAUGUAAACAUGCUACAGUAUCUAAUAAUGUAAACAUGUUACAGUAUCUAAUAAUGUAAACAUGCUACUGUAUCCAAUGUAAACAUGCUACUGUAUCCAAUGUAAACAUGCUACUGUAUCUAAUGUAAACUUGCUACUGUAUCUAAUAAUGUAAACAUGUUACUGUAUCUAAUAAUGUAAACAUGCUACUGUACCUAAUAAUGUAAACAUGUUACAGUACCUAAUAAUGUAAACAUGCUACAGUAUCUAAUAAUGUAAACAUGUUACUGUAUCUAAUAAUGUAAACAUGCUACAGUAUCUAAUAAUGUAAACAUGCUACAGUAUCUAAUAAUGUAAACAUGCUACAGUAUCUAAUAAUGUAAACAUGCUACUGUAUCUAAUAAUGUAAACAUGCUACAGUAUCCAAUGUAAACAUGCUACUGUAUCUAAUGUAAACAUGCUACAGUAUCUAAUAAUGUAAACAUGUUACAGUAUCUAAUAAUGUAAACAUGCUACUGUAUCCAAUGUAAACAUGCUACUGUAUCCAAUGUAAACACGCUACUGUAUCUAAUGUAAACUUGCUACUGUAUCUAAUAAUGUAAACAUGUUACAGUACCUA